rnacentral:rRNA from 1 species
UGGGGAAUAUUGCACAAUGGGCGCAAGCCUGAUGCAGCCAUGCCGCGUGUAUGAAGAAGGCCUUCGGGUUGUAAAGUACUUUCAGCGAGGAGGAAGGCGUUGUGGUUAAUAACCGCAGCGAUUGACGUUACUCGCAGAAGAAGCACCGGCUAACUCCGUGCCAGCAGCCGCGGUAAUACGGAGGGUGCAAGCGUUAAUCGGAAUUACUGGGCGUAAAGCGCACGCAGGCGGUCUGUCAAGUCGGAUGUGAAAUCCCCGGGCUCAACCUGGGAACUGCAUCCGAAACUGGCAGGCUAGAGUCUUGUAGAGGGGGGUAGAAUUCCAGGUGUAGCAGUGAAAUGCGUAGAGAUCUGGAGGAAUACCGGUGGCGAAGGCGGCCCCCUGGACAAAGACUGACGCUCAGGUGCGAAAUCGUGGGGAGCAAACA